rnacentral:rRNA from 1 species
GUCGAGCGGACAGAAGGGAGCUUGCUCCCGGAUGUUAGCGGCGGACGGGUGAGUAACACGUGGGUAACCUGCCUGUAAGACUGGGAUAACUCCGGGAAACCGGAGCUAAUACCGGAUAGUUCCUUGAACCGCAUGGUUCAAGGAUGAAAGACGGUUUCGGCUGUCACUUACAGAUGGACCCGCGGCGCAUUAGCUAGUUGGUGAGGUAACGGCUCACCAAGGCGACGAUGCGUAGCCGACCUGAGAGGGUGAUCGGCCACACUGGGACUGAGACACGGCCCAGACUCCUACGGGAGGCAGCAGUAGGGAAUCUUCCGCAAUGGACGAAAGUCUGACGGAGCAACGCCGCGUGAGUGAUGAAGGUUUUCGGAUCGUAAAGCUCUGUUGUUAGGGAAGAACAAGUGCAAGAGUAACUGCUUGCACCUUGACGGUACCUAACCAGAAAGCCACGGCUAACUACGUGCCAGCAGCCGCGGUAAUACGUAGGUGGCAAGCGUUGUCCGGAAUUAUUGGGCGUAAAGGGCUCGCAGGCGGUUUCUUAAGUCUGAUGUGAAAGCCCCCGGCUCAACCGGGGAGGGUCAUUGGAAACUGGGAAACUUGAGUGCAGAAGAGGAGAGUGGAAUUCCACGUGUAGCGGUGAAAUGCGUAGAGAUGUGGAGGAACACCAGUGGCGAAGGCGACUCUCUGGUCUGUAACUGACGCUGAGGAGCGAAAGCGUGGGGAGCGAACAGGAUUAGAUACCCUGGUAGUCCACGCCGUAAACGAUGAGUGCUAAGUGUUAGGGGGGUUUCCGCCCCUUAGUGCUGCAGCUAACGCAUUAAGCACUCCGCCUGGNGAGUACGGUCGCAAGACUGAAACUCAAAGGAAUUGACGGGGGGCCCGCACAAG